rnacentral:rRNA from 1 species
AAAUUGAAGAGUUUGAUCAUGGCUCAGAUUGAACGCUGGCGGCAGGCCUAACACAUGCAAGUCGAGCGGUAGCACAGAGAGCUUGCUCUCGGGUGACGAGCAGCGGACGGGUGAGUAAUGUCUGGGAAACUGCCUGAUGGAGGGGGAUAACUACUGGAAACGGUAGCUAAUACCGCAUAAUGUCGCAAGACCAAAGUGGGGGACCUUCGGGCCUCAUGCCAUCAGAUGUGCCCAGAUGGGAUUAGCUAGUAGGUGGGGUAACGGCUCACCUAGGCGACGAUCCCUAGCUGGUCUGAGAGGAUGACCAGCCACACUGGAACUGAGACACGGUCCAGACUCCUACGGGAGGCAGCAGUGGGGAAUAUUGCACAAUGGGCGCAAGCCUGAUGCAGCCAUGCCGCGUGUGUGAAGAAGGCCUUCGGGUUGUAAAGCACUUUCAGCGGGGAGGAAGGCGAUAAGGUUAAUAACCUUGUCGAUUGACGUUACCCGCAGAAGAAGCACCGGCUAACUCCGUGCCAGCAGCCGCGGUAAUACGGAGGGUGCAAGCGUUAAUCGGAAUUACUGGGCGUAAAGCGCACGCAGGCGGUCUGUCAAGUCGGAUGUGAAAUCCCCGGGCUUAACCUGGGAACUGCAUUCGAAACUGGCAGGCUAGAGUCUUGUAGAGGGGGGUAGAAUUCCAGGUGUAGCGGUGAAAUGCGUAGAGAUCUGGAGGAAUACCGGUGGCGAAGGCGGCCCCCUGGACAAAGACUGACGCUCAGGUGCGAAAGCGUGGGGAGCAAACAGGAUUAGAUACCCUGGUAGUCCACGCCGUAAACGAUGUCGAUUUGGAGGUUGUGCCCUUGAGGCGUGGCUUCCGGAGCUAACGCGUUAAAUCGACCGCCUGGGGAGUACGGCCGCAAGGUUAAAACUCAAAUGAAUUGACGGGGGCCCGCACAAGCGGUGGAGCAUGUGGUUUAAUUCGAUGCAACGCGAAGAACCUUACCUGGUCUUGACAUCCACAGAACUUUCCAGAGAUGGAUUGGUGCCUUCGGGAACUGUGAGACAGGUGCUGCAUGGCUGUCGUCAGCUCGUGUUGUGAAAUGUUGGGUUAAGUCCCGCAACGAGCGCAACCCUUAUCCUUUGUUGCCAGCGGUUAGGCCGGGAACUCAAAGGAGACUGCCAGUGAUAAACUGGAGGAAGGUGGGGAUGACGUCAAGUCAUCAUGGCACUUACGACCAGGGCUACACACGUGCUACAAUGGCAUAUACAAAGAGAAGCGACCUCGCGAGAGCAAGCGGACCUCAUAAAGUAUGUCGUAGUCCGGAUUGGAGUCUGCAACUCGACUCCAUGAAGUCGGAAUCGCUAGUAAUCGUAGAUCAGAAUGCUACGGUGAAUACGUUCCCGGGCCUUGUACACACCGCCCGUCACACCAUGGGAGUGGGUUGCAAAAGAAGUAGGUAGCUUAACCUUCGGGAGGGCGCUUACCACUUUGUGAUUCAUGACUGGGGUGAAGUCGUAACAAGGUAACCGUAGGGGAACCUGCGGUUGGAUCACCUCCUUACCUUAAAGAA